rnacentral:rRNA from 1 species
CGCUGGCGGCAUGCCUUACACAUGCAAGUCGAACGGCAGCGCGGGGCAACCUGGCGGCGAGUGGCGAACGGGUGAGUAAUAUAUCGGAACGUACCCUGGAGUGGGGGAUAACGUAGCGAAAGUUACGCUAAUACCGCAUACGAUCUAAGGAUGAAAGUGGGGGAUCGCAAGACCUCAUGCUCCUGGAGCGGCCGAUAUCUGAUUAGCUAGUUGGUAGGGUAAAAGCCUACCAAGGCAUCGAUCAGUAGCUGGUCUGAGAGGACGACCAGCCACACUGGAACUGAGACACGGUCCAGACUCCUACGGGAGGCAGCAGUGGGGAAUUUUGGACAAUGGGCGCAAGCCUGAUCCAGCAAUGCCGCGUGAGUGAAGAAGGCCUUCGGGUUGUAAAGCUCUUUUGUCAGGGAAGAAACGACCCCUUCUAAUACAGGGGGUUAAUGACGGUACCUGAAGAAUAAGCACCGGCU